CGGCGUCAGUGUUGAGGAUUUCGACAGUCUGGCCGCUCAUGGUGGUCACGAUGUCGCCCGGGCGGGUCGCCGUGCCGCUCGGCAUGUUCUCGGC
rnacentral:tRNA from 1 species